AUAUCAUCUACUCUGUACUGUUGCACUCUCAAAAUAUUUGCGGUUGUGUGGUAAAAAAAAAUGAGGAACCUUGUCGUGUUGGUAGAAAUUUAGGUAACUCACUUUGUAAUCUGUCAGGUGAGCAUGAAAUUUUCUCUCUUGAACUUGUAGAGAAAAUGUUAAUAGAGAGGGAUAACUGGCCUGUGUACAAAGCUGGGAUAUAUGCAGCAUAUCAGGGAG
rnacentral:misc_RNA from 1 species